rnacentral:rRNA from 1 species
GACGAACGCUGGCGGCGUGCCUAAUACAUGCAAGUCGAACGAGAGCGACCGGUUCUUGCACUGGUCAAUCUAGUGGCGAACGGGUGAGUAACACGUGGGUAACCUGCCCAUCAGAGGGGGAUAACAUUCGGAAACGGAUGCUAAAACCGCAUAUGUCUUCGAACCGCAUGGUUUGAAGAGGAAAAGAGGCGCAAGCUUCUGCUGAUGGAUUUACCCGCGGUGCAUUAGCUAGUUGGUGAGGUAACGGCUCACCAAGGCCGUGAUGCAUAGCCGACCUGAGAGGGUGAUCGGCCACAUUGGGACUGAGAAACGGCCCAAACUCCUAAGGGAGGCAGCAGUAGGGAAACUUCCGAAAUGGACGCAAGUCUGAAGGAGGAAAGCCGCGUGAGUGAAGAAGGUUUUCGGAUCGUAAAACUCUGUUGUUAGAGAAGAAUAAGUGCUAGAGUAACUGUUAGCGACUUGACGGUAUCUAACAAGAAAGCCACGGCUAAAUACGUG